GUGACAUACACUAGAUGCACACACUAGCUAGGAAUGGAGCUCAGCACAGGACUAAUUAAGAGUCCCAGCGGGGAGCUGCAUGUGAAUAAUAUUAAUAACAUUUCCCACUACAUGGGUUGGCGGGGUGUACCUUUUCAUUAGUUGUGGGAACAAAACCUAUUAUGGAAUUCAUGAAUCCACUAAAAUUCACUCAAAAACACAUGACAAUUUAUAGGGAAAAAACUUAACCAAUCAGAAGAGUUUGACGUCAUUGGGCAACAAGUUAGUUAUUGAAGGCGCCCUCGUGCAACAUGCCAUAUAUUGCACUGGAUGACAUAAUGCCCGAGGGCCUGCAUUUAUGCUGCUCCAGUGCAAUAUAUGGCAUGUUUUACUCGUGCUGGGCAAUAAAACUAAUACAUAAUCCAGUAUCAACUUCUCUAUGAUAGAUCUGCUGUAUAAUUAUAUAUAGCUUUAAUAUAGACAAAAUAGUCUAGUUUCUUAUUAGCUUCAUGCAUACUAUAGAUCCAGCAAUUAUUAAUUGUCGUGACUCAGAGUAUAAACUUACUGUACAUGUUGCUGUCAUCUUGCACACUUUGAUCUUCUACUUUCACAGUAGCCAAUGUCAAUUGAUGUUCAAGUAGAGUAGAGUUGAAUAUGAAUGCUGUACUGAAGACCACGUACAAGCUAGUAUGACGAAGCCUCGCCCCCUCCCACCUCUCUCUCUCACCUACGUUGAAAAGGGGACAGCCACGGACUACUAAAAGCACUGCCUCCCUCAUGCCCUUCUGAACUGUAAGCUGAGUGCCACCCGUGGAUAUUACCGCUACGACUGUAUAAUUAUAUGUAUUACGUUUGUUGUCCAUAUAGCUUACAAAGUUUUCAUGUACAGUAAACUCUUAUUAAAUCUGGCCACCCUUGGCGAGAUGGCCGCAUUUCAGAAUAUAGCUGCGGCUAAAAAGCGGUCCUUACCUCGAAUCUAAUAACUAAUUUUGCAGUUCUGUCAGAUCAUUUUGCUCUCAUUUUGCUUUCUAUGUGUAAAUUCAAUAUUAUCUGCCAAACCAUACCCAAAAUAUCAUAUCCGGCCGUAAUAAACGUAAAAAACCAUCAAAGUUUGAGGCAGCCAGUACUGGCCAGUAUACAGAAUAGCAUUUCAGGUCAAGUUUUGUGCAGUAAAGAUCAAGCUAGCAAUCCGUGCCAAACCAAAUGACCGAUGUAUCGAGGUGGCCGUACUUCAGAGAGCUGGAAUAGCGAGAGUCUACAUAAUUAUAAGCCAACGAAAAGUUGUUUGUAUCUGUAUGUUGGGAUGGAUCAAAAAGAGUACUGCAUGGACUCCAUACAAUUAUCAGAUGCAUCAAGCACCCUUGUGUCACCAGAGUUUGAUAUAAUUAUAGGCAUAAUUAUGAUAAAUUAAAUGCCAACAUGAUCUAUUGUUUGUUAGUCGCGACUCUCACUGUGUACCUAACUUGUAGCUAUAUAAUUAUGAAGCAGCUAGUGCAUCUUAAUUGCUAGCUCUACUGCAUUAAAUUGUGUACACUGUGGGUAUUAGUUUAUAGCUCAUCAUUGUCCUGCAUGCAUAUGGGAUUAAUUGUUACACCAAUUGUUAUGCCAUAAUGCAUCAGCAUCGAAAUUUAACAAUAGGAAUGCUAUAUAUAGUUAUCUUUAAACGGCUUAUGUGUACACGUACGUGACAAGCUUUCAAGCACAUGACACGAUGCCAGCUGUCUUUGUAUUGUCCCUAUACAUCAGGUUACCAUCCUACAGUUAUAUGAAAACAAGCUUGUUUAGCAUUCAACAAAAUUCAGUAUUCUACUAUUAUCGUUAGUCAUGCAGCCAUGAGUGAAUAAAGUAAAUGUCAACAAGCUAUAGUGCAUGCAUUCAAAUUCUCAGUAUAAAACUGUCUACCUAUACACGUAUUUCUGCAUACAAAGGUUCUGUAGGUAGUGUAGGUGAUCCUUGAGCAUUUUCUAUGACAUCAUACAGAUGUGGCUCCGUAGCAAUUAUUUGUGAAUGGUUGGCAAUACAAAUUUCAUUAUACGCUUCAUUUUUUCUCAUAUUCAAUACAAUAGAGUAUGCUUCACAGUUGCUGACUUCGAACGCUGUAUAUGUGGUGCAAUGGUGCAAUGGCUUAUUAAAGUAAUUAUCUUGGGAAAUCUACUCACUUUUCUUUGAUUUUCUCCUUCUUUUCUUGAACAACACUGCUAAUGUUACAGUAAUGAAUAUAAUGCAGCAAACUGCUCCACCAGAACAACCUCCAAUAACACCUGCACCGAUUAUGGUUGAAGUUACAGUAUAAUUACCCCAGUGUACUGUUGUAAUGGGGUCCAAGUCAGUAAUGUUUCUAAUAACUGUACUCUCUGUUGUUGAGUUGGACUUGAGGGUUAUGAUAACAAUCUCUCUACUGUACACUCUGCGUAUACCACCAUCUUGUUCCCAAUUAUAAACAGUAGUGGUGAAAUUACCAACCUCCACAUCUACACUGUAUGAACAACCUUUUACACAAGUUUCAUUUAUGCUGACAAACAUAGAAAUCACUAAACGAUUUUCAACGCCCAGAAUGUCAAUCUUAAAGCCACGAGCAGUUGUCCCUCUAGCAAACCAGCAAGUGACAGUGACAUUAUUUCCUCUCACAAUGAUUUCUACGUUUUGAAUAUCGUAUGUACCUGAAAAUAGUAUUUUUUUUAUAAUUAUGUCAUUAUGUUAUGGCAGCACAACAUCAUCUGAAAACUUACUAAAAGGAA